GCGGGCGUGGCGGAAUUGGCAGACGCGCAAGAUUUAGGAUCUUGUGUCGAGAGGCGUGCAGGUUCAAGUCCUGUCGCCCGCA
rnacentral:tRNA from 1 species